CUUAUAAACUAAACAAACUUCCGUCAGGCAUUUGGCCAAGAGCUGUUAAUACAUGCCUCCAACAUCGGUCCUUUUAAAAUUAAAAGGACAUUGGACUAUUUAAUUAAACAUGAAUGUUUAGUAAACACAAAAGACUUUUUAAUUUCAGAAUCACGAAUCAGAAAAUGCUGAAAAGAAAGAAACAUGAGUUACAGAAAUACAGACUAGAAAUGAGGGAUGGUGACUAGAACCAGCAUUUUGGAGUCCUCCUAUGUAUGAGAUACUUUACAGGUAUUACUGUGAUAACUGUGUCCCAUAACCCUACAUGGAGGAGAUUAUUAGUAUUCAGUUAACGGUGAGGGUACUAUACCUUAGUGGGAAAUAAAAGAAUUUUCCCAAGGUCAAGGGUGAAGUUUUAGAACGAAGAGUUGACUGAGUAUAGACUCAUCUAACUGUGGAAAUCAUGGCUUUAUUUUACUAUUUUUCCCUGUUUGCAAAGGAGACUAUUUCUCUAAAUGGCACACCAAGUGUCUAUGGCCAAGGUGAAAUGGUGGUUGAGCGUGUCUGUCAUCUGGGCCGCGCGUACCAGCUGAAGAAAAAGCAAGGAGGACACUUGUCCAGUGAUCCACGGUGCUUGCUGCAGGUCAUUCCCACCUCACCACUUCAGGAGAUCAGAUCCAACUUCUAUGUGCAAAGCCAACAACCGGAGAGUGACAGAGCUAGGACUCAAAACCACAGUGUUUCCGCAUGGAGGAAGAGAAGAAAGGGGAGAAUGGAGGGGAAACAUCUUUUAUACCGGACUCCUUGUUCCACAACCCCCACCAGCAACCCCAACCAGUGUGGCAUUUGUCUUCUGCAGUAACAUCAGGUAAGUGGGUGGAGAUUUCCUCUGUCAUUGCUUUUGGUCUCUAGGAGUCUAAACUGGGAACCAGGCUGCAAUCUGUUUUUAUGAAAAGAAAUAAAUAGGCAGUGUUAAUGAUACAUGAGAAUAAUAUAGGGGUAAGCCCAGAAAACAGUGUCUGGAGUCUUUCGUGUGAAAUGUUCUUUGUAUGUACUUAAUGCCAAAUACAAAACCUAACAGGUGUCAUGAGGGAGAAUCAGCUCUACCAGAAAGUUCCUGAUUGCCCAACACGAAGUGGCCAUGGUUGGGACAGUCAUACUUCACCGUCACCCUCUGACAUCAAACACGGCCUGGACAGUGAGUUCUGAGCACUGACCACUCUAAGGUAAAAAUCAGCACAGCAUACUUUUUCCAGAGGUCAUGUGUGUGCUUUUCUGUUUAUUAAUUUAUUUUUAAGCAUGAUUUUAUGUCUUCUCUUUUCUAGGCCCUUCUCUUCACUAGGUCCUGAGAACACAGUAUCAAAGCAGAUUACUGCCUUCAGUAAAUUGAUGUUAUACUAGGGAGACAGACACGUAAGUAAUCACAACGAAGACCAGGUAAACUUGUCUUGAGAAAGAGAGGGGAGCAAAUAGCUGAUGGAUCCCAGCUGUAGAAGGCUUCUAAAGAAGAUGAUAUUUAAUCUAGCAAGGUUUCCUUAGGAGGACAUUGGUUGGAAGGUCUUAAGAACUGCUACGUUCAUCCCUGAAGCUGAAACCUUUAAAAAGGAUAUAGGGAGGCUCCUGUGUUGCAGAUGCCUGAAACGGAUCCUUGAGAAACAAGUGGUCUGCAGGUACCUGUUGUAAACCAGGGGCUAAUGAAUAACUAGAGCCAAAGUGUCCACUCUGCCCUAUCCUAAGCUCAAAGGAUCUCUAACAACAUCCAUACCUCCUGGGCCACGGGUCAAGCCCUUGACAGUCACUUUUCACUUAUCACCUAACUUCAUUGUUACAACCACUGUUUCACAAGUGAAGGAACUGAGGCUCAUAGAAAUGAAGGCUUUAUGAAAAAGCCUCAAAGCUAAAGAGAAGAGUCCAGGAUUUAGUUUUCAAGUCCAGUGCUCUUGGCUCAAUACAGAGUCCUUCCUCCUCCCACUUAAUGCUGACAUUGCUCAUAGACCUGCUGUUAUUCUGAGUUCUGAAAUAAAUGUACCGGAGAACUUGGAGCAACACUUGCUGCUAUGGGACAAAAAGAAGACAGAAUUUUGUGCCUGGAGUGACUCAGGUUCAACUUCC
ensembl:lncRNA